rnacentral:rRNA from 1 species
UACAGAGGUCCCGAGCGUUGUUCGGAAUUACUGGGCGUAAAGGGUUUGUAGGUGGCCUGCUAAGUCAGACGUGAAAUCCCUCAGCUUAACUGGGGAACUGCGUCUGAUACUGGCGGGCUUGAGGACAGGAGAGGAACGCGGAAUUCCAGGUGUAGCGGUGAAAUGCGUAGAUAUCUGGAGGAACACCGGUGGCGAAGGCGGCGUUCUGGACUUUUUCUGACACUGAAAAACGAAAGCCAGGGGAGCAAACGGG